GAUGAACGCUAGCGGCAGGCCUAACACAUGCCAGUCGAGGGAGAAGCCCUUUCGGGGGCAGAAACCGGCGCACGGGUGCGUAACGCGUAUGCAACCUACCUUUCACAGGGGGAUAGCCCGAAGAAAUUUGGAUUAAUACCCCAUAAUAUUAUUGGAUGGCAUCAUUUGAUAAUUAAAACUGCGGUGGUGAAAGAUGGGCAUGCGUCCUAUUAGCUAGUUGGAGUGGUAACGGCACCCCAAGGCUACGAUAGGUAGGGGUCCUGAGAGGGAGAUCCCCCACACUGGUACUGAGACAGGGACCAGACUCAUACGGGAGGCAGCAGUGAGGAAUAUUGGUAAAUGGUCGGAAGACUGAACCAGCCAUGCCGCGUGCAGGAAGAAUGCCUUAUGGGUUGUAAACUGCUUUUAUAUGGGAAGAAUAAGGCGUACGUGUACGUUGAUGACGGUACCAUAUGAAUAAGCAUCGGCUAACUCCGUG
rnacentral:rRNA from 1 species